AUGUAUCUUACAUCUGGUAUCAGAGACCAAUCCCACCCCCUUCCACUGUCCACUCUGGCCAAGAUCAUCGAGAUGCGGCGGCUGCGCCAAGCACGAUCACAGCUCGUCGCCAUGGAUCCAACCAUGGAAGCCUUCCUCGACCGCCUCGACAACACGCUCAAGGCCCAGAACAAGGCCAUCGCUGAGAUCCAGGCGUCCACAGCCAAGAUCGACGAACUCGUCCACUGGCGACCCGAUCUGGAGAAGCGCGUCUCCGAUCUGGGCGAUGCGGUGGCGGCGCUCCAACUAGCGCAGACCAAGGAGAUCGAGGGAAAUCGAGCGCCCGCAUAG
rnacentral:rRNA from 1 species